rnacentral:tRNA from 1 species
CUCCGGUGCGGGGAGUCGAACCCCGCUCGCCGCGGAUUUAUUACAUGGUAAUUGAAAACGCGGAAUGAUAAACCGAUACACCACACCGGA